rnacentral:rRNA from 1 species
GUUAACGACGGGCGAGGAGGCGCGGGAAAACGGAGGAGGCGGGCGUUAGCCGGAGUGACUGGGGGUAAAGAGCAGGCAGGCGGGGUGGUAAGUUGGACGUGAAAGCUGCCGGCUUAACUGGGAGAGGUCGUUCGAUACUGCGGGGCUUGAGGUUGGGAGAGGGGUGCGGAAUUCCCGGUGUAGUGGUGGAAUGCGUAGAUAUCGGGAGGAACACCAGUGGCGCAAGCGGCGCCCUGGCCCACACCUGACGCUGAGGUGCGAAAGCGUGGGGAGCAAACAGGAUUAGAUACCCCUGUAGUC